rnacentral:rRNA from 1 species
UACGUAGGGUGCAAGCGUUGUCCGGAAUUAUUGGGCGUAAAGAGCUCGUAGGCGGUUUGUCGCGUCUGCUGUGAAAACUCGGGGCUUAACUCCGGGCCUGCAGUGGGUACGGGCAGACUAGAGUGCGGUAGGGGAGACUGGAAUUCCUGGUGUAGCGGUGAAAUGCGCAGAUAUCAGGAGGAACACCGGUGGCGAAGGCGGGUCUCUGGGCCGUAACUGACGCUGAGGAGCGAAAGCGUGGGGAGCGAACGGG